AUUGAACGCUGGCGGCAUGCCUUACACAUGCAAGUCGAACGGCAGCACGGGAGCAAUCCUGGUGGCGAGUGGCGAACGGGUGAGUAAUAUAUCGGAACGUGCCCAGUCGUGGGGAUAACGUAGCGAAAGCUACGCUAAUACCGCAUACGAUCUAUGGAUGAAAGCGGGGGAUCGCAAGACCUCGCGCGAUUGGAGCGGCCGAUAUCAGAUUAGGUAGUUGGUGAGGUAAAGGCUCACCAAGCCGACGAUCUGUAGCUGGUCUGAGAGGACGACCAGCCACACUGGGACUGAGACACGGCCCAGACUCCUACGGGAGGCAGCAGUGGGGAAUUUUGGACAAUGGGCGCAAGCCUGAUCCAGCCAUGCCGCGUGCAGGAUGACGGUCCUAUGGAUUGUAAACUGCUUUUAUACAGGAAGAAACACUACUUCGUGAAGUAGCUUGACGGUACUGUAAGAAUAAGG
rnacentral:rRNA from 1 species